CUGCCUGGUAGUGGGGGAUAACGUCCGGAAACGGACGCUAAUACCGCAUACGUCCUACGGGAGAAAGCAGGGGACCUUCGGGCCUUGCGCUAUCAGAUGAGCCUAGGUCGGAUUAGCUAGUUGGUGGGGUAAUGGCUCACCAAGGCGACGAUCCGUAACUGGUCUGAGAGGAUGAUCAGUCACACUGGAACUGAGACACGGUCCAGACUCCUACGGGAGGCAGCAGUGGGGAAUAUUGGACAAUGGGCGAAAGCCUGAUCCAGCCAUGCCGCGUGUGUGAAGAAGGUCUUCGGAUUGUAAAGCACUUUAAGUUGGGAGGAAGGGCAGUAAAUUAAUACUUUGCUGUUUUGACGUUACCGACAGAAUAAGCACCGGCUAACUCUGUGCCAGCAGCCGCGGUAAUACAGAGGGUGCAAGCGUUAAUCGGAAUUACUGGGCGUAAAGCGCGCGUAGGUGGUUCGUUAAAGUUGGAUGUGAAAUCCCCGGGCUCAACCUGGGAACUGCAUUCAAAAACUGACGAGCUAGAGUAUGGUAGAGGGUGGUGGAAUUUCCUG
rnacentral:rRNA from 1 species